rnacentral:lncRNA from 1 species
UCCAGGCUCAUAGGCAGAGAACCCAGACCACAGAGGUCGGUGGAGCUCUCCCCCAGGAAGGUUCCACAGCUACGCCCCUCUCAAUGCUCCAAAAGUCCAAGUGCUGAUGGAGAUCAGGGAGCAGCUGCCAAGGCCGGAAAGGAUGUGCACACAUCCCAAAAAGUGCAACCCUAACUAGUUCUGCCUCUAUCAUCGUGACCACGGCCACGAUGCAGAGGAGUGCAUUCAGCUCCGAGAUGAGAUCGAGGAGCUCAUCAGAUGAGGUCGGCUCGAUAGAUUCAUCCGAUGCCGACUUGAGAGUAGGG